rnacentral:rRNA from 1 species
UGGGGAAUAUUGCACAAUGGGGGAAACCCUGAUGCAGCGACGCCGCGUGAGCGAAGAAGGCCUUCGGGUCGUAAAGCUCUUUUAUGAGGGAAGAUAAUGACGGUACCUCAAGAAAAAGCCCCGGCUAACUACGUGCCAGCAGCCGCGGUAAUACGUAGGGGGCUAGCGUUGUCCGGAAUCACUGGGCGUAAAGGGUUCGCAGGCGGAAUAACAAGUCAGAUGUGAAAGGUAUGGGCUCAACCCAUGUAAGCAUUUGAAACUGUAAUUCUUGAGAAGUGGAGAGGUAAGUGGAAUUCCUAGUGUAGCGGUGAAAUGCGUAGAUAUUAGGAGGAAUACCUGUGGCGAAGGCGACUUACUGGACACAAAUCUGACGCUGAGGAACGAAAGCGUGGGUAGCAAACAGG